GAUGAACGCUGGCGGCGUGCCUAAUACAUGCAAGUCGAGCGAACAGACGAGGAGCUCGCUCCUCUGACGUUAGCGGCGGACGGGUGAGUAACACGUGGAUAACCUACCUAUAAGACUGGGAUAACUUCGGGAAACCGGAGCUAAUACCGGAUAAUAUAUUGAACCGCAUGGUUCAAUAGUGAAAGACGGUUUUGCUGUCACUUAUAGAUGGAUCCGCGCCGCAUUAGCUAGUUGGUAAGGUAACGGCUUACCAAGGCGACGAUGCGUAGCCGACCUGAGAGGGUGAUCGGCCACACUGGAACUGAGACACGGUCCAGACUCCUACGGGAGGCAGCAGUAGGGAAUCUUCCGCAAAGGGCGAAAGCCUGACGGAGCAACGCCGCGUGAGUGAUGAAGGUCUUCGGAUCGUAAAACUCUGUUAUUAGGGAAGAACAAAUGUGUAAGUAACUAUGCACGUCUUGACGGUACCUAAUCAGAAAGCCACGGCUAACUACGUG
rnacentral:rRNA from 1 species